rnacentral:rRNA from 1 species
CUUAACCUACAGACUGCGUUUGAAACUGUAUAUCUUGAGAGCAGCAGAGGAAGGCGGAAUUCCUGGUGUAGUGGUGAAAUACGUAGAUAUCAGGAAGAACACCAGUGGCGAAGGCGGUCUUCUGGGCUGCAUCUGACGCUCAUGUACGAAAGCUGGGGUAGCGAACGGGAUUAGAUACCCCGGUAGUCCCAGCUGUAAACGAUGGACACUAGGUGUUGGCGGUUCGAAUCCGUCAGUGCCGGAGUUAACGCAUUAAGUGUCCCGCCUGGGGAAUACGGUCGCAAGACUGAAACUCAAAGGAAUUGACGGGGGCCCGCACAAGCGGUGGAGCAUGUGGUUUAAUUCGAUGCAACGCGAAGAACCUUACCGAGAAUUGACAUCCCGUGACUACCUGUGAGAGCAGGGUUUGGUACUUAGUAUCACAC